ensembl:lncRNA novel transcript
CUCUUGCACACGGUGGAAGCUUUGUUUUUUAGCUCUUUGUAGUAAAUCUUGCUGCUGCUCGUUGUUUGGGUCCACAGUGUCUUUAUGAGCUGUAACACUCACUGCGAAGGUCUGCAGCUUCACUCCUGAGGCCAGCAAGACCACGAACCCACGGGGAGGAAUGAACAACUCCCCACGGGAGGAACGAACAACUCCCCACACCUUAAAAGCUGUAACACUCACCGGGAAGAUCUGCAGCUUCACUCUUGAAGCCAGUGAGACCACGAACCCACCAGAAGAAACUUCGAAUACGUCCGAACGUCAGAAGGAACAAACUCCAGACACACCAUCUUUAGGAACUGUAACACUCACGGGAAUGCAUGAGUGGGAGGAGAGGAGGCAACGUUUGGUGACCAGCAGAAACAGAGAUUGAUAGACUCUUUGAUAGAAUUGGAAUUAGGCAUAAUUCUUCAGGAGUGCACCUGGGAUGCAUGGCAAAGUUUAUCCUCACAGGCUUCCCUCCCUGGCUGGUAUCAACCAUGUAUGAGGAACAGGUGGAGUUCUCCUUGUCCAGGCCUGACACCCAGGCUUACUGUGGAAUUAAAGAGCUGUGGACAGUAGCUGCUCAAAAGGAAGGUGACAGGUGAGUUCCUGAACAUCCAGAUUGUCAACAGCCAAAGACAAGAUGGCCACCUGGAAGAGGAGCUGGGGGACAGUUCUGGACAAAUUCAAGUCAGGUUUGCUGGCUUUUCCACCAUGGGCAGAUGAUGCCACAGAGAGGGGUUAUCAGUGAGCAGUACCAUGCAACAUGCAGUGCAGCAGAAACAACAGCUAAGAAAAGACAUUUCCUCAUGAUUAAUUUCAGACCAUACAUCUUUGGCAAGAGUUUCACAGAAACUUCUCAUCGCAUCUUAUCAGGCGGCACACGAUUCUGUUUUGUCUUGGAAUGAAGGAUGCUGACUUUGAUCACUUGCUUGCCGUAGUGUCUGCCAGCCGUCUCCACCAUCAAGCUACUCUUUUCUUCUUUCAGGGUGUGGCUGUGCUAGGAAAGAGACUUGGCCCACAGCCUCACAGUGAUUCAGAAGACGCUGGGUGAGGACCUCUGUGUCCCUGCUCCAAGGACCCUGAGAUGACCCAUCCCAGGACACUCAAUCCUGCCUGCAGAUGCUAGGCUCUGAGGAGAUGCCUGCUAUAGCACCAGCACAUUCUGCAGACAUGUUUUGAAAUGUGUUAAUAAAUAACUGGAGAAC